UGAAAGAGUUUUCGGACAAUGGAAGUAGAGGAAAGUGGCGGACGGGUGAGUAACGCGUGAGGAACCUGCCUUGAAGAGGGGGACAACAGUUGGAAACGACUGCUAAUACCGCAUGACGCAUAGAGGUCGCAUGAUCUUUAUGCCAAAGAUUUAUCGCUUCAAGAUGGCCUCGCGUCUGAUUAGCUAGUUGGCGGGGUAACGGCCCACCAAGGCGACGAUCAGUAGCCGGACUGAGAGGUUGAACGGCCACAUUGGGACUGAGAUACGGCCCAGACUCCUACGGGAGGCAGCAGUGGGGAAUAUUGGGCAAUGGGCGCAAGCCUGACCCAGCAACGCCGCGUGAAGGAAGAAGGCUUUCGGGUUGUAAACUUCUUUUAAGAGGGAAGAGCAGAAGACGGUACCUCUAGAAUAAGCCACGGCUAACUACGUGCCAGCAGCCGCGGUAAUACGUAGGUGGCAAGCGUUGUCCGGAUUUACUGGGUGUAAAGGGCGUGCAGCCGGGUCUGCAAGUCAGAUGUGAAAUCCAUGGGCUCAACCCAUGAACUGCAUUUGAAACUGUAGAUCUUGAGUGUCGGAGGGGCAAUCGGAAUUCCUAGUGUAGCGGUGAAAUGCGUAGAUAUUAGGAGGAACACCAGUGGCGAAGGCGGAUUGCUGGACGAUAACUGACGGUGAGGCGCGAAAGUGUGGGGAGCAAACAGGAUUAGAUACCCUGGUAGUCCACACUGUAAACGAUGAAUACUAGGUGUGCGGGGACUGACCCCCUGCGUGCC
rnacentral:rRNA from 1 species